GAGAGCAAGGCAGGAGAAUCACUUGGGACCACAUGUUCAAGACCAACAUAGCGAGACCCCAUCUCAAAAAAGAAAAAAAAAUUCUACGACAACUCUAGGACAAUAUAGAUGUGCUGAAAAAAAUGCAUUGUCCAUACUAAUGACAACCCACUGUGUACCUCCUCCCAUGCUCUCCAGCGGUGCAGCUUGUGGUGGUCAGUUGCCUGUUUUUCCUCGCUGUGAACGCUUUUAAUUAAAAGGAAGGGAUUCAGAACCUGCGGAUGUGGAGGGCCAGAGGGCUGAAUUUGCAAGUUGGGCAAUGGGGAAAGCCUUCACAAAGGAGAAAGCCUUUGGGCUGGAAUUGGAGGAGUAGGAGUCAAUAGAGAGAGAAGAGAGUAAAGGGCAAGGCCAUCAUUCCAGGUUUAGGGAGCAAGUACAAAGACACAGAGAAAUGAAAAGGCUUGGCCUGUUUGGAGAAUGUCAAGCUGUCUGGGGUUGAGAGAAAGACAUUCUAACAAGGCUUCCAUUAAAGAGGCUAGAUUUGCUGCUUGGACAUUUUCUAGCUCUUCUGAGACAACUUUUUGUUGAGUUAAGCGAAAAUGAAUGAAAAUCAGAUGGACCAUAUUUCUCUUGAAUGCACACGGGCUUAAAAACGAAGGGGAAAAAGAACUUGACAGAAUGUGUCUUGGCUUUUGCCAAACCCAAAGUAUUUGAAAAAUCACACAGUACACAUCUCGAACCCAAAAACAUGCCUGGAUUCUACCACCCCUAACUGCAGCUGCAGCCAUUUAAUAAAAUGAAUUGUGUACAAGAAAAUGGGGUCCGAAUGGAGUGAGCUUCAUUAGAGAGAAUGACUGAUGUAGGGCGGUUGGCUGGUGCCCUUGAGAAAGUACAUAUCUCAUUGCC
rnacentral:lncRNA from 1 species